rnacentral:rRNA from 1 species
GAUGAACGCUGGCGGCGUGCCUAACACAUGCAAGUCGAGCGAACAGACGAGGAUCUUGCUCCUCUGACGUUAGCGGCGGACGGGUGAGUAACACGUGACUAACCUACCUAUAAGACUGGGAUAACGUCGAGAAACCGGAACUAAUACCAGAUAAUAUAUUGAACAUCAUGGUUCAAUAGUAGAAGACGGUUUUGCGGUUGCGUAUAGAUGGAUCCGGGCCGCAUUAGAUAGUUGGUAAGGUAACGGCUUACCAAGGCAACUAUGCGUAGCCGACCUGAGAGAGUGAUAGCCGGCAUUGGAACUGAGCCAGGGACCAGAGUACUAAGGGAGGCAGCAGUAGGCAACGUGACGCAGUAGUCGAGAGCCUGGCGCAGCGGCGGAGCGCGAGUGGUGACGGCGUUCGGUUCGUAAAAAAGUCUUACUAGUGAAAAACCAAUGUCUACGUAACUGUGCACGUAGUGACGGUACCUGAAGAGAAAGCCACGGCUAACUACGUG